AGAUGGUUUUGCGUAUCAGUGUAUUAUUUGUCAAUCAUUAAACAUCUCAAAACAGUUGAGAAAAUAUGUGCACCCCGAAUGGUCAAAAAACCUUUCGUUUAUUGCUCAGGUAAACCCAUAGAAAACUGACGUUUAUAUUAUAAAAGCAAAAGAUGUUAAACCGACGUGAUGACCCUAUCAGGAAGCUGGGAGAAUAGUCAAGUUUAGCAUGGACUGUUUGCCAAUCACUCACGCCCAUCUCGUGAUAUAUAAACCUUAGUUGAACGUUCUCCCAAAAUUCAAAGUAGAUGAUUUCGCCCUUUAACAAGUAGAAUAUAGGGUCAAUUGCUUGAAUUAAUGAUAAUUAGUACGCACAACAUUUCUGUGUUUUCACUGAUGUCAUAGGAAAGUAAAAAAUAACGAAAGCAUUUUAGUUGAUCUAUUCCAGUGGAGUCUUGGGUUCAAAUAGUUUAUUCAGAAUGAUAAAGGAACAAUGAUGUAGUUUAGCCAGUUGGGUUAUCAAAUGCCAAAAUAAAUGGGUCAAACAAAUUAUGACCCAUACUGUAUUAUAACUUAAUAAGUUCUUUGGUGAAAGAAAGAGAGGGGAACUUGAUCGAUCACCAUUUCGAAAAUGUUUAUACUGAGACUAACCCCCAUCGUUUGGCGUUAGAAGGACUUUUUUUCCACACUCUGGUUGUUUUCUUUAUAGGGUCAGUGAUUGUAGGGUGUGUGUACAAGGAUCUUCAUGAAUUACUGCUGAGAAAUCAAUCCACUGGAAAAGAAACUAACACUUCUAGGUAUGUUAACACCAGAAUAAUGACGGCAGCGAUGAAUCCCAAACCUGAAAAAUUACGACGAGAUGCCAUCUUGAAGUUCAGAAACCUUCAGGUCGUUAAAGAAGAACAACACUGCAUGUUUUGGAGUGGUUUCAAAAAUAGUCCAGAUGGGUUUUCAAGGGAAGGUUGUCAUGUGGAUCAUUCGAGGAGCAAUUCAGAAGAAACGGUUUGC